GUAGCUGGCCACUCACUAUAGCAAACAUCUGAUGUCAUGCUGUACAUGAGCUGUAAUAAGCACACAAGCUGCUAGGAGGUACAGGGCAUGGCAGAGAGCAACCACGUCUGGAUGAAGCAGUUUUGAGUGGGUCUUGGUGGGAAAACUCCUUUUGUAUGUGACCUAGCCUCUCAUUCAGUGCCUGGUGGAUCAUGCAGUGCUCACCUUGCCAUGGCACAGUGUCAUCAGCGACCUGGAGCAGCAGCCUCAGCUUCUCCCAAGGAAGAAGAGCCCCAGGAUCAGCAUAAAGAUUUGGGCUGUUACAUGUUGUUCUCCAUCUUUGAAUUAAUCUGUGUGCCGGGAGCAAAGGCAGCGCAGCUGUGCCGGAGCUGCUGCGGGUGUUUCCCGGCCCUGUGGCUGGCAGGCACCGAGCGGAGUCAUCUUUAGCAGCACAGCUGAGGACUGAAGGCAAGACUAUGAAGGGAUCUCAAACCAUCGACGCCCUUGCUACACACGGCAGGCAUUUCAACAAGCAGUGAAAAGCAGCUGCUGCGGGAACUCCCUCAGGACACUCCAGCUCUACAGAGAGUUUCAGGAAUCAGGAGAGGACAUUUACUACCUAUUUGUGCUAUUGCAUAAUUCAUGGACACUAGUCAAAACUCUUUUUAUACCCGUGUCAGCUUGGCUUUCUUGGCAGAACUUUGCAGCUUUUAGACAAGAAAAUCAUAACUGUUUAUUAAGAUUUAUAUUCCAAACCAAUUAAAGUUUGAGGGGUCAUCUUUAUGUGCAACAUGUGGUAUAUAAAGGUUAGGGGAGCCAGAUUCCAGCAGUUCAAACUGUAGCAACAAAAUCUGUGCCUCUCCUCAAACUGAAUUUCUGGAGCCGACCCGGUAACUUUUUGCUCAGUCUUUAUUAAAAAAGAGAACUCUGGACUGCACGGCCUGUGUUCACAGAUCCCGAAUGUAAUUGUAGGUAAUUUCUGAUUGCGAUAAAGAAUCUUUAAUGGUAAAAUGCACUAUGAAAGCACAACAGAGAUAAGAUCAGAAUGACUUGAAAUUGGAACACUUGAAAACUUGGCAGAGAAUCUGCUUAGGAAGUUUACAUGGCAGGGAGGACUGUGAUCACCCAAAUGCUGGGGAUUACAUUUCCAAAAUUACAGCAGGGAUAUGCAAUAACAACUCCAUAAUAUUUUGAGCAGGAAGGAAGCAAAUAACAUAAUGCAGGAUGUUGCUGUCAUAGCACACCCCUUGGCAACACCCUCUUUAAAGGGGGGGAAAAAAAAAAAAAAGGUGGGGAAAAAGUAAAUCAUCCCGCUGUUUAAAGAUAGAUGGGGUAGAAGGCAAUGCUUAGAGAAGGCAUUUGCAGGCUUUCCUUCCCUUAUCAUAAUUUUUCUCUUUGAACCCAUCAAACAGAAAUCCAUGUUUACAAAAAAUCAGUUGUAGCCAAGUAGAAAAACUCAUCUUCAAGUCUGCUGCGGCCAGUGACAGUUUUUUUGGGAUCUAACUAGUCUAACAGGCUUUCCUCCCCUUUCAUGGGAAUUCUCAAUGUUCUUCAUUUCUGGUCAAUCUCAUUAACUCAGCACACACCUUGCACUGGCUCCAUGCUCUCGCACAGUGAUAUGCAGAAAGGAGGACUCACUUAUAAUGAUCACUUGUGAGAGUUUUGGGGUUGAGGACAUUUGAGACUGAGGCUGAAGAUGCAGCUGCAGCAGGAACUGUUCUGGCUUUGUGGGCUGACUUUUUCUUGAAACUAGGCUGUUAAAAUAGCACUAUCAGUUCCUCUCUCAUGAGUGCCCACCACAUCACCUAAAAUAGAAAAAUGUCCCAUAGGCCACGUGUCUGCCCAGGGCACAGCAGGAUACUGGCAUGCUAUUCUUUCCAACACUGAAAUAUCAGCGCUCUUUGCAUCUGGGUUCUGUUUUCAUCCUGCUGAGCCUUUCUUGAUGCAUGCCAUGACAUAUCUUAAACAUAAAAAAACCCUAAUGUAGGUCCACAAAAUAUUUCCAAGUACUAGACUGGGAAAUAGAAGUCAUAGUUCUACUAGUAUUAAAAAAUAAUAAGUGCAAUUGAGACACUGAUUUCAUAGCAAACAAUAAUUCUUCCAUGUCUUACCAUAGUUAAUCCCUGAACACGAUAGUUACCUAUUUCUUGUCUGUAUGAUGGGGGUUAAUGAUUUAAUCACCCUUUUUCUGUCUAGCGUUCCCCAUUACUCCAUAGUUUCAAGGCAUGCUCUUCUCUUGAGAUAUCUAAAGGAUUAGGAUAUUGGAAGUAUUUUUAGGAUAAACUCUGCAGUAUUACUGAAAUCACAGUACAUGUGACUUGGGUUUAGUCUGCUGCUUCCCACCCGAAGAAGAGCUUCUGUGCCCAAAGACGUGUUUUGCAUUUUCAGUUAUAUCUGUAGGCUCAAAAGAGAAGGUCCCUUUGUCUUGUCUCACUGAUUAAUCUUAUACUUUAAACUUAUUAACUAGCAUCAUUGUUAGCUCUGAGUAGUUUUAAUGUGGGAGCGAGAAUGUGUCCUUCUCUCCUGUGAAGAGCAGACAGAGCAACUACCUCACAGUGAGAGAACAG